AGUGAACGCUGGCGGCAGGCCUAAUACAUGCAAGUCGAACGGCAGCACAGCAGAGCUUGCUCUGUGGGUGGCGAGUGGCGGACGGGUGAGGAAUACGUGGGAAUCUGCCCAGUCGUGGGGGAUAACGUAGGGAAACUUACGCUAAUACCGCAUGCGCCCUUUGGGGGAAAGCCGGGGAUCUUCGGACCUGGCGCGAUUGGAUGAGCCCACGUCGGAUUAGCUAGUUGGAGGGGUAAGGGCCCACCAAGGCGACGAUCCGUAGCUGGUCUGAGAGGAUGAGCAGCCACACUGGAGCUGGGACACGGUCCAGAGUCCUACGGGAGGCAGCAGUAGGGAAUAUUGGACAAUGGGCGCAAGCCGGAUCCAGCCAUGCCGCGUGAGUGAAGAAGGCCCUCGGGUUGUAAAGCUCUUUUGUUGGGGAAGAAAAGCCUUGGGUUAAUACCCUGAGGUUCUGACGGUACCCAAAGAAUAAGCACCGGCUAACUUCGUGCCAGCCGCCGCCGUAACAC
rnacentral:rRNA from 1 species